rnacentral:rRNA from 1 species
AACGAACGCUGGCGGCAUGCCUAACACAUGCAAGUCGAACGAGACCUUCGGGUCUAGUGGCGCACGGGUGCGUAACGCGUGGGAACCUGCCCUUAGGUUCGGAAUAACUCCCCGAAAGGGGUGCUCAUACCGGAUAAUGUCUUCGGACCAAAGGUUUAUCGCCUUUGGAUGGGCCCGCGUUGGAUUAGCUAGUUGGUAGGGUAAAAGCCUACCAAGGCGACGAUCCAUAGCUGGUCUGAGAGGAUGAUCAGCCACACUGGGACUGAGACACGGCCCAGACUCCUACGGGAGGCAGCAGUGGGGAAUAUUGGACAAUGGGCGAAAGCCUGAUCCAGCGAUGCCGCGUGAGUGAUGAAGGCCUUAGGGUUGUAAAGCUCUUUUACCCGGGAUGAUAAUGACAGUACCGGGAGAAUAAGCGCCGGCUAACUCCGUG